rnacentral:rRNA from 1 species
UACGUAGGGGGCAAGCGUUGUCCGGAUUUAUUGGGCGUAAAGAGCGUGUAGGCGGCCAGGUAGGUCCGUUGUGAAAACUCGAGGCUCAACCUCGAGACGCCGAUGGAAACCAUCUGGCUAGAGUCCGGAAGAGGAGAGUGGAAUUCCCGGUGUAGCGGUGAAAUGCGCAGAUAUCGGGAGGAACACCAGUGGCGAAGGCGAUCACCUGGGGUUGUUCUGACGCUGAGGAGCGAAAGCUAGGGGAGCAAACGGGG